rnacentral:lncRNA from 1 species
AUGACAACCCGUAAGCGGCAGCUCCCGGCAGGACGGGCGCGGUACCUGAGACAACUUUCCGAUUCCCUCCCAAGUUCCCGGUACUCGGCGGUUCGGCCGCCUCGUGCCACGGCCGCGGAGCUGGGCAGAGCAGCGCCGGGCGGUGCGCUGUGCUGCCGGGCCGCCUCCCGGUACCGACGAGAAGAGAUGAAGAAACGGAGAGCGGAGAGCUCCUUGCCACGGAUCGCAACCCGACUCAGCCACAGACUUAGUAGAAACCUUAAUUUCCGUCCCAUGCUCUAAUUAUGGGAGGUUUCCUCCCACCUCGCUGUUACUUUUGUGGAGAUGAAGUAAUCUCCCUCGCGCCAUCCUACGGAGCCGCCUGUGUGAGUGCGGCCGUGGCUGAGCGCCAGGAGCUGCUUAGAGACAUGAAUGAAAUCCGGGGCUGUGCUUGAGCUCUGCCGGCUGAGCGUAGCCGGGGUGUGACACAAAGCUACUCGGGAGAUCCGCGUGUGUACGGCUCUGCUGGCCUCCCAUGCUUUGCUACUGCAGUACAUCAAGAUUUUUGUUCAGGUUCCCAGCAGAAAAUGGGCUAAAUUUCUGAAUUUUACAGGUGAUAAAUCCUGUACAGAAAUACAAGCCUGAAAGUCCAUUCUGCAGGUGUAUUUUUCUCAUACAGUACGAUAAAUUCACUUGCACAGAGGAUUCUAGAGGAACAGACCGUGUCUCUUUCCUGUAUGUCUUUUGGUACGCCCUCAUGACAUGACCUGUAAGAGAGAUGACGUGGUUUUGUCUGAUCAUCUCUCUAAAUUUGCCAGACCCAUCUGGUGGCCUUCUGUGAUGGACAAAAGAAGGGCAAAUGAUGUCGUCUACUUGGGCUUGUGCAAGGCCUUUGACAUGGUCCUGCACCAUGUCCUUAUCUCUAAACUGGAGAAAUAUGGAUUUGAAGGCUGAAGUGGAUAAAGAGUUGGUUGGAUGGAUGCAGGCAGAGGGUUGUGGUGAAGGGCUCUGUGCCAAGGUAGAGACUGGUCAUGACUGGUGUUCCCCAGGGGUCCAUUUUGGGACUGGUGCACUUCAGUGUUUUUAUCAGCAGCAUCAAUGGUGGGAUUGAGUGUACCCUCAACAGGUUUCACGACACUGAGCGUUGCAGU